rnacentral:lncRNA from 1 species
GUUGGACUGGGAGGUACCAUUUUGGCACGGUUGGCGGCGCUGUCGUAGCUUUUCUUAGCGUUCUCGACAACGAGAAGAGAAUAUUCGCGUCAAAGGGGUCUCCUUAUUCUUUGGAUUCUUUGUGUCGUCGUUAUUUGCAAGUGACUCGAAGAAGACACGAUUAAUAUUAAAACGAAGGUUUAAUUCGUUUUUUACGUUAAUUUCCGGGUGUCCUUGUCCUUGUCGUUCUCGCGUGAAUAAGGAAGGAGAAAGAGUAGGUAGACGACAGAGCAGAGAAAUAAAAGGACUCUGUUUUACCCUUGGAAAUAAAAAAAAACAUUAUCUUCUUCAUGAAAUUUCUCGCCGAUAAUACGUAUCACAUUAGUUUUCCGAUGAUUAUUAGAAUAUCAUCGUAUCUCGAUUGGAAAUUUUCUUAUUUUUCCUUUUACCGUCUUCCCAUCUUUCUCCCUCCUUUUCAAACGGUAUACUGCAAUGAGACCUUGGUUCGAAAGUCACGUGGUCCGCCGGUCAGUCCAUUGUUUACAGCAAUUAAUACGACAGUUUAAAGUUACGCAUUAUUGUUGUUGAGAUAAACCUCGUCUAACGUGUUUUUUAUCUUAUCGACAAAGUGUUUGUUGUUGUUAAACGAAUGUUCGUUAUUUUCUUCUACUUCGAUGAGAAUAAUCAUUUGGAUUUCUAAAAUAAGUGUCAUGCACUUUCUCGUACAACUGUUUAAUGCAAACGGUGAAUAAUCGUCCAGAACACCGUUCGAUUUCGAAUACCACGAUAAUUCUCAUUUUUCGAAACAAACCAGUUAUCGGUUCUUCAUAAAAAUAAAUAUUCUCGGAAACAAAUCGGACGCCGGGCUUCAUACCUUUUCCCCAGAUAAAAAGAAUUCUUCAUAUAUAUAAAAAGAAAAGAAGAGAAAUCUCGAUAAAAAAUAGAAAACCUUCAGAUAUUAUUCCAUGCAAGAAGAAAGAGAGAGACAGAGAGAGAGAAUAAUCAUUUUCUCAUGGUGGAAAAAAUAAUCGGUUAUUUAAAAGAAAAAGUUAAGAAAAUCGUGGGAGUGAAUAAGAUAGUAGAAGUAGAAGAAGUGAUUAAACCAUAAUACGUAAACACGGAUAUAAUUAGCGAAGCGAGAUUCUUGAAGGGUCACGAUCAGUGGGGCCGAUGAAUUAAUUUAAUAUAAUUAGAGCGUUCACAGAGCGUGAGAGUAAAUAAUGCAUCGUUUACCGCUAGUUGCUGCUGCUGUGCUACUGCUGCUGCUACUGCUGCUGCUGUUGCUGCCGUUGGUUACAUCGUACGUGAUAAAAGCUUUAAAGCACGAUAAGGGGAGGAUAGUUAAUAGGUGUAUAAUACAUUGUUCGAAAGCAAGAUGUGUACGAGGCCCGUUCGGAAAACAGUCCAAGUAAAAAAUAAAACGAGCCCACGACGCGAGAAUCGGCCUUCAUUAAUUAUCCGUACCAUAAAUAUGUAUUUGUAGUACGUGUAUUUGUGUAUAUAUGCGUGAAAACGCAAAGCUUGUUGCACCAAUGGCUUUUAUAACGCGAGAUUGUGCAAAUACUACCUCAUCGUUCGUGCAAAGUCGAAUCUAUUAUACAUGAAUUAGCAGCAUGUUUCAUGAGUAUUCCCGUGUAUUGUCCACGAAGUAGUAUCUAUGCAGUUACGUGUUGAUGUCUGCUUGAUAUCCUAGCCCUCCCUCCGUUCACUCCCACCCCCUCAUCAUAUAAAGAUUUAUUUUAUAACAAUCCGUGUAUUUCGUGUCUUCUUCGUGUAUACUUGUUUUUCGUUAACGAUUGGAAAAAUACAGGAAAAAACUUGUAACACAUGAUUCAUGAGUAACUUCGCGAGAUUAUCUUUGCAUUAUUAAUCGGCCCAAAUUAUGCGUGGUAAUCUGACAACUUUCAAAGUGAUAAAUUAUUUAUAUUUAACGCUUAUACAUGGAUACUAUUAUUUUUCUUAUUUUUUACUUUGUACAUUAAAUUCAUCAACGAUAAAGUAAUAACACUUAUAUGAUGUAAUUAUUAUAAUUAUUAAAUUGUAGUUUUGUUUGAAGCAUAUAAUAAUAAUAUUAAUAAUAAUAAUAAUAAUCGUCAUCAUCAUCUACAGAUUAAUAACUAGUUGAUAUUAUAGGUGCUAGAGAGAGAGAGAGAGAGAAAGAGAGAGACUGAGGAAAUUGCACACCGGAUGUGUGCGAAUUUGGAAGAUUAAGAGAGUAGUGAGUAAUCUCUCGAUUAUUUAUCGAGAAUAUUUAGAGAGAAUAUAUAUCGAGUAGUAUAUUGUGAGAUUGUGAUAAGAGAAGAGAAGAGAAGAUAUAAAAAAAGCGAGAUUUCAAUCUGUAGUUGUAAUUAAUUAAUAAAUAACCGUUUACAAGCAGCACCGUCAA